GACGAACGCUGGCGGCGUGCUUAACACAUGCAAGUCGAACGGGCCUUGUCCCCUUUUUUUUUGGGGGUGGGGUUAGUGGCGAACGGGUGAGUAACACGUGAGUAACCUGCCCCUCACUUCUGGAUAGCCGCUUGAAAGGGUGGCUAAUACGGGGUGUUCUGGCCUGCUCGCAUGGGUGGGUUUGGAAAGAUUCGACCGGUUUUGGUUGUUUUGGUGGGGGAUGGGCUCGCGGCCUAUCAGCUUGUUGGUGGGGUGAUGGCCUGCCAAGGCUUUGACGGGUAGCCGGCCUGAGAGGGUGGGCGGUCACACUGGGACUGAGACACGGCCCAGACUCCUACGGGAGGCAGCAGUGGGGAAUAUUGCACAAUGGGCGCAAGCCUGAUGCAGCGACGCCGCGUGAGGGAUGGAGGCCUUCGGGUUGUGAACCUCUUACGCCAGUGAAGAAGGUCCUGCUCUUUGUGGUGGGGUUGACGGUAGCUGGGUUAAUGAAGCGCCGGCUAACUACGUG
rnacentral:rRNA from 1 species